GGGCGGUUAGCUCAGCGGUAGAGCGCCUCGUUUACACCGAGAAUGUCGGGGGUUCGAUCCCCUCACCGCCCACCA
rnacentral:tRNA from 1 species